rnacentral:rRNA from 1 species
UACGUAGGUGGCAAGCGUUGUCCGGAUUUAUUGGGUUUAAAGGGUGCGUAGGCGGCCCUAUAAGUCAGUGCUGAAAUAUCCCGGCUUAACCGGGAGGGUGGCAUUGAUGCUGUAGGGCUUGAGUAAGGUUGAGGUUGGCGGAAUUGACGGUGUAGCGGUGAAAUGCUUAGAUAUCGUCAAGAACACCUAUAGUGAAGACAGCUUACUAAACUAUAACUGACGCUGAGGCACGAAAGUGUGGGGAUCAAACAGG